NNNNNNNNNNNNNNNNNNNNNNNNNNNNNNNNNNNNNNNNNNNNNNNNNNNNNNNNNCCUAACAUUCCCAAAAUUCCAUGGAAAUAUCCCCAAAUUCCCAAUUUCCAUGGAAUUACCGCAAAAUCCCAGCAUUCCCAAAUCCCAUGGAAAUAUCCCAAAAUUCCAAAUUCCCAUGGAAAUAUCCCAAAUUCCCAAAUCCCAUGGAAAAUUCCCAAAAUUCCCAAAUCCCAUGGAAUUAUCCCAAAAUUCCCAAUUUUCCAUGGAAAUAUUCCCAAAUUCCCAAAUCCCAUGGAAAUAUCCCAAAAUGCCAACAUUCCAAUUUUCCAUGGACUUAUCCCAAAUUCCCAAAAUUCCCAUGGAAAUAUCCCAAAAUCCCAAAAUUCCCAAUUUGCAUGGAAAUAUUCCCAAAUUCCCAAAUCCCCGCUCACAUUUAUGGAUCCCGGUUCCCAACAUUCCAUGGAAACAUUCCCAAAUUCCCAAAUCCCAUGGAAAUAUCCCAAAUUCCCAAAAUUCCCAAUUUUCCAUGGAAUUAUCCCAAAUUCCCAAAUCCCAUGGAAACAUUCCCAAAUUCCCAGCAUUCCAUGGAAACAUUCCCAAAUUCCCAACAUUCCAUGGAAAUAUCCCAAAUUCCCAGCAUUCCAUGGAAACAUUCCCAAAUUCCCAACAUCCCAUGGAAAUAUCCCAAAUUCCCAACAUUCCAUGGAAACAUUCCCAAAUUCCCAAAUUCCCACUCACAUUUAUGGAUCCCGGUUCCCAGCAUUCCAUGGAAAUAUUCCCAAAUUCCCAAAUCCCAUGGAAACAUUCCCAAAUUCCCAAAUCCCAUGGAAACAUUCCCAAAUUCCCAAAAUUCCCGCUCACAUUUAUGGAUUCCGGUUCCCAGCAUUCCAUGGAAACAUUCCCAAAUUCCCAAAUCCCAUGGAAAUGUCCAACAUUCUCAAUUUUCCAUGGAAAUAUCCCAAAUUCCCAAAUCCCCGCUCACACGUGUGGAUUCCGGUUCCCAGCAUUCCAUGGAAACAUCCCCAAAUUCCCAAUUUUCCAUGGAAACAUUCCCAAAUUCCCAAAUUCCCAAAUCCCCACUCACAUUUAUGGAUUCCGGUUCCCAGCAUUCCAUGGAAACAUCCCAAAUUCCCAAAUUCCAUGGAAAUAUCCCAAAUUCCCAGCAUUCCAUGGAAAUAUCCCAAAUUCCCAACAUUCCAUGGAAAUAUCCCAAAUUCCCAAAUCCCAGGGAAAUAUCCCAAAAUGCCAACAUUCCAAAUUUCCAUGGAAUUAUCCCCAAAUUCCCAGUUUCCAUGGCC
rnacentral:lncRNA from 1 species